CCUACGGGAGACAGCAGUGGGGAAUAUUGGGCAAUGGGCGCAAGCCUGACCCAGCAACGCCGCGUGAAGGAAGAAGGUUCUCGGCUUGUAAACUUCUUUUCUCAGGGACGAAGCAAGUGACGGUACCUGAUGAAUAAGCCACGGCUAACUACGUGCCAGCAGCCGCGGUAAUACGUAGGGGGCGAGCGUUCUACGGAUUUACUGGGUGUAAAGGGCGUGUAGGCGGGAAAGCAAGUCAGAUGUGAAAACCAUGGGCUCAACCUGUGGCCUGCAUUUGAAACUGGUUUUCUUGAGUACUGGAGAGGCAGACGGAAUGCCUAGUGUAGCGGUGAAAUGCGUAGAUAUUAGGAGGAACACCAGUGGCGAAGGCGGUCUGCUGGACAGCAACUGACGCUGAGGCGCGAAAGCGUGGGGAGCAAACAGGAUUAGAUACCCUAGUAGUC
rnacentral:rRNA from 1 species